GACGUACCUCUUCCACAGUCAGUAGGUCUUGAGUUCUUACACCCAAUUGACCCGUCUUCUGCGAAGCUGAGAGAAAACGUCGUGUUUUCAAAACACCGAGAAAAUGAAGAAGAUUAAUCUACUUAUCCUAGUCGUGUUACUGAUAGGAAGUAUGGUCAUGGCAGUAGGUGCCGACAGCUGCGAGGACUACGACGCUGGCAAAUGUAUCCCGGAAAAUUUGAACUGCGGAACUGCCGAAAGGACCGACCUGUGCGGCGAAGGUAAGAAAUGCUGCAUUCCCGAUAAGUUGAAGUAGAUGGAGAAGAGGGAAAGAGGAAGAAGGAAGAAGGGGGGUGCAGGAGAAGGGGGAAGAACGGAGAAGGCGUCGACGACAAUACAGGCAAACGAGCAUGUCAUGAGAGCUCUGUGUUGGAUUGCUUCGAACGCUCCAAUAAUUGGCUUAUGAUUAAAUGUUAAAUUAAAGAUUGUGGAAUUGUAUCUUGCAGUACAUUCAUAUACACACAUGCUUAUAUAUGCGUACAGAAACACACAUGCAUGAAUACAUAAAUGUGCAUUUAUUAACAGACGCAAACAGAUACACAUAUUUGAUGAUAGAAAAAAAAUGACCAACAAAUUUUCUCUCAGAAGUUUUUAGUGCAUUAAAAUAAAACAAAAUAAACUAUUAAGGAACUGAUUAUAUUGAUACUAAUUCAUAAACUAAUAUUGAACGAUUACCAAUAUUAAUUAAUUUUAUUACAACAACACGAAUUCGUUUGACGGACACUCAACAAUCACCACGAGUAAGACCAAUUAACACGAACUCACAAUCUAGCCUAUGAUAACAGCUACACUUCAAAACCGAUGAUAACUACACCACUUUAAAACCUAACCCCAAUUGCUGAUGACAAUAAAUAGGCUUGUUACUCCUAACAGUUAUUUGUUGCAAUUGUUCAAGCAAUUACAAAAUUACCGGUUA
rnacentral:lncRNA from 1 species